rnacentral:rRNA from 1 species
UGGGGAAUAUUGGACAAUGGGCGCAAGCCUGAUCCAGCCAUGCCGCGUGGGUGAAGAAGGCCUUAGGGUUGUAAACCCCUUUCAGCGGGGAAGAUAAUGACGGUACCCGCAGAAGAAGUCCCGGCUAACUCCGUGCCAGCAGCCGCGGUAAUACGGAGGGGACUAGCGUUGUUCGGAAUUACUGGGCGUAAAGCGCACGUAGGCGGAUUUGUAAGUCAGGGGUGAAAUCCCGAGGCUCAACCUCGGAACUGCCUUUGAUACUGCAAAUCUCGAGUCCGGAAGAGGUGAGUGGAAUUCCUAGUGUAGAGGUGAAAUUCGUAGAUAUUAGGAAGAACACCAGUGGCGAAGGCGGCUCACUGGUCCGGUACUGACGCUGAGGUGCGAAAGCGUGGGGAGCAAACAGG